rnacentral:rRNA from 1 species
GAUCCUGGCUCAGGAUGAACGCUAGCUACAGGCUUAACACAUGCAAGUCGAGGGGCGAGCAUGGUCUUAGCUUGCUAAGGCCGAUGGCGACCGGCGCACGGUGAGUAACGCGUAUCCAACCUGCCCUUACACUCUUGGACAGCCUUCUGAAAGGGAGAUUAAUACAAGAUGUUAUCAUGAGUAAGCAUUUUCGCAUGAUUAAAGGUUUACCGGUGUAGAUGGGAGU